AAAAUUCUCUUUUUUGAAUGAUAUGAGAACAUUCUGACUAAUAAUUAUGGGGUUAGAAAGUAGUACUAACUCAAUCAUCACUGGAAUAACUGUUUUUAUCCUCUUUGCUUUUUAAAUUAAUUGUCAUGUAAACAAUCAAGGCAGCAGAAGAAAAUAAUAUUAGAGACAAUUAAAAAUUAAAAUGACAGACAUUGAGACUACACAACAAUGCUCACUUUGAUCAUGCAAAUUAUUGGCUUCUCUCCAGUCCAAUCUCUUAUUCACCAAACA
rnacentral:lncRNA from 1 species